AGAGUUUGAUCAUGGCUCAGAACGAACGCUGGCGGCGUGGAUAAGACAUGCAAGUCGAGCGAUCGUUAACGGGUAGCAAUAUUCGUUAGCGGGAGCGGCGCAAGGGUGCGUAACACGUGGGUAAUCUGCCGUGAAGUUUGGGAUAAUCCCGCGAAAGCGGGACUAAUACCGGAUGUGACCAUUGGGAGGCAUCUCUUGAUGGUUAAAGUUGGGGACCGCAAGGCCUGACGCUUCAUGAUGAACCCGCGGCCUAUCAGCUAGUUGGUGAGGUAACGGCUCACCAAGGCUAAGACGGGUAGCUGGUCUGAGAGGACGACCAGCCACACUGGAACUGAGACACGGUCCAGACACCUACGGGUGGCAGCAGUCGAGAAUUUUUCACAAUGGGCGCAAGCCUGAUGGAGCGACGCCGCGUGGGGGAUGAAUGGCUUCGGCCCGUAAACCCCUGUCAUUUGCGAUCAAACCUUAUUAUUUAAAAGAUGAUAAGUUGAUAGUAGCGAAAGAGGAAGGGACGGCUAACUCUGUGCCAGCAGCCGCGGUAAUACAGAGGUCCCAAGCGUUGUUCGGAUUCACUGGGCGUAAAGGGUGCGUAGGUGGUGGGGUAAGUCGGAUGUGAAAGCUCGGAGCUCAACUCCGAAAUGGCAUUGGAAACUACCCUGCUAGAGGAUUGGAGGGGGGACUGGAAUACUUGGUGUAGCAGUGAAAUGCGUAGAUAUCAAGUGGAACACCAGUGGCGAAGGCGAGUCCCUGGACAAUACCUGACACUGAGGCACGAAAGCUAGGGGAGCAAACAGGAUUAGAUACCCUAGUAGUCC
rnacentral:rRNA from 1 species